rnacentral:misc_RNA from 1 species
GAACCGCGGUAAUUCCAGCUCCAAUAGCGUAUAUUAAAGUUGUUGCAGUUAAAAAGCUCGUAGUUGAACUUCGGGAUCAAUUAGUUGGUCAUGCCUUGGUAUGUACUGAUUUUAUUGGUUCUCACCUUCUAAAGAACUAUAAUGUCAUUUAUUUGAUGUUAUAGGGAAUUAGGACUGUUACCUUGAAAAAAUUAGAGUGUUUAAAGCAGGCUCACGCUUGAAUACAUUAGCAUGGAAUAAUGAAAUAGGACAUCGCAUUCUAUUUUGUUGGUUUCUAGGAUCGAUGUAAUGAUUAAUAGGGAUAGUUGGGGGCAUUAGUAUUCAAUUGUCAGAGGUGAAAUUCUUGGAUUUAUUGAAGACUAACUACUGCGAAAGCAUUUGCCAAGGAUGUUUUCAUUAAUCAAGAACGAAAGUUAGGGGAUCGAAGACGAUCAGAUACCGUCGUAGUCUUAACCAUAAACUAUGCCGACUAGGGAUCGGAUGAUGUUGAUUUUUUAAUGACUCAUUCGGCACCUUACG